GCAGUGUGUGUUUGAGUGUGUGUGUGUAUAUAAUGCAGAGUGUGUUUGUAUGAGUGUGUGUGUAUAUAAUGCAGAUUGUUUGUAUGAGUGUGUGUAUAUAUAAUGCAGAGUGUUUUUGUAUGAGUGUGUGUGUAUAUAAUUAUAAAAAUCACAGAAUUUCAUAGCCCCAAGUUUUACCCUCGACUUAUCCACGAGGCAUAGCAUAUUUCACAAUUGUUGGUCACAAAACUGCACUCGACUUAUACAUGAGAUCGACUUAUACACGAGUAUAUACGGUA